rnacentral:rRNA from 1 species
ACGAAGGGUGCAAGCGUUACUCGGAAUUAUUGGGCGUAAAGGGUGCGUAGGUGGUUUUUAAGUCUGCUGUGAAAUCCCCGGGCUCAACCUGGGAAUGGCAGUGGAUACUGGAAAGCUGGAGUGCGGUAGAGGGUAGUGGAAUUCCCGGUGUAGCAGUGAAAUGCGUAGAUAUGCGGAGGAACACCGAUGGGGAAGGCAAUCCCCUGGGCCUGCACUGACGCUCAUGCACGAAAGCGUGGGGAGCAAACAGGA